AAUUUUCACGCAACAACAUCAGGUAAACAAAGAAGUCCGAAACAGAAAGUCCAUCUUUGACUUAGGGUUUACAAUUCAUUCAUACACAAUCUCGAUUACUAAUCGAAUCGAAUUGCAUCCCUAUUUUCUCCUCUUUCUCUGUCAUCCAACAAUGGCGAUGCGUAAUUUCAUCAACGAGCUCCGAGGCCUGAAAGUGAAGGAGGUUCCUGAGAAGGUGAAACCUAUGCUAUCAAUUUCCUACUUGAAGAACUCAUUCGGGAAGUUUAUAGACAAUUACCAUGCCAAAUACAUAGAAACUGAUUCAAUCAUGCCUCUUUACCAUGUAUGCUUUGGUGGUAUGGCCUUCUCUUACCUUGUAGCUCUUCCCGAGGAACGCCGCCAUCUUGAACAUGCUCAGCAACAUGGUCACUGAUUUUGAUUUUACAGGUUGACGUGCUUGGCUGGGAAGGCUGUAGGUGAACGUCAAGUCGUCUUUUGCUGUUUCUACCUUUUGCAUUUAUAAAUGUAUUGCUUGAGCAUGAACUGCAGAAAUAAGUUUUGGAAAUUGAUGAUGGUGAUAAUGUAAACCUCUUGAAAUUACUUGGAUCAUUGUUGUACAUUGUUCCGGAUUCCCACUCCCCCCUUCCUUUUAUGGAAAGGUUUUCUGUUAGUAUCCCGACUUACUAAACCCCAUUUUGACAUUCGAUUUUUAUGUAGAAUAUAUCAUUGUACUCGUAAGCAUUUAUGUUAUGUUGAUUCUCGAAUUAUAGAC